CAUUUUUUAUUUUUUUUUUCACCUUUUUCCGUCUGCGCAGGACGGAUCCGGCAUUCUGGUAAGUGUUCGGUUUUUUGGGCCAGAGAUAAAAUCGUCGCAUGCUGUGGAUUUAUCUCUUGCCUGAUCAGUCAAAAAGACUGAACUGAAGACAUCCUGAACGGAUUGCUCUCCAUUCAGAAUGCAUGGGGAUAUAUGCCUGAUCAGUUCUUUUCCGGAUUUGACACUAGGACGGAACUCAGCGCCGGAAAAGAAUAACGCUUGUGUGAAAGUAGUCUAACAUUGUCAAGUGUACCUUGCACUCCCUCCUGCGAACACCCAGCUGUCCAUUUAUUCAUACAUACUCAGAAGGAUUAAUAGAAUAGUGUACCAUCGAGACCCAAGAAAAAAAAAAAGCUCCAGUUAUCUUAUGGUGUUUGCUGGCAUUUAUGAAAACGGAAAGCUUACAGGCCUGGGUUAAAAGUAACCUGUCACCAGGACACAUAGGUUUAUGCUUUGCAUGAUGCUUAGAAACUUGUUUCCAUCUAAGCCCCAUCACCAAAUCAGUACUUGGGGACAUCACAUGCUCCUGGACCCACCAGAGUUUUGGAAGAACAUGCAACAUGACCUUCCUAGAUGGUUAGAGGUGGCUCCUCAAGAGAGGUAAAGCUACUGUCUGCAUUAGUAUAUACACGUGUCCUUCUGUGCCCAUAAUCUGACUUUUAGUGGUUAGAAUCGUAUUUGGUCACCUUAUUUUAAGGGAUCUGUCCUAGUGCCUCUCCCUUAUUUGCUACAUAUACUGUAAUAUAGUAAGUAAACCUGAGGUCCGCUGUGAAGAGGAUGUUAUCAGUCUAUGUUGUCCUAUGGCAAGGCAGGAUCAGGACACAUCUGCUCUCAUAUUGGUCAGAACGGCAAAAAAAAAAAUAUUGUACCUUUUUGCUAAUAAGAGCAAUCAAAGAAUCCACCAGGCCCAUAGUGUAUUGAGGAGGACAGUGAUGGAUGCCUGGCUGAUGGUUUUCUGCAUACACAGCUGUGAGAAGACCACACUCUGAUGAUGGAUCUGCGUUACCUUCAUGCUCUGGGUCAAUAGGAUUACAAUACCACAUAUAUAUAGGUUUUUCUUGUUCUAUAAACUGAAAAAAAAACAAAACUUUUUUUUUUCCUCAUCACCAUAUUCUGAUCCCAUAACUUUUUAUUUUAUAAGUCAGUCUCUGGAGCUUAUUUUUUUUUGCAGGGUGAUUUGUAGUUUUUAUAGAUACCAUACCCCCCCAUUACAGUGUUAACCAUAUGGCAUAGAAUGGGCAUUUUGGGAUAUGGUGUUGUGUGUCUUAUUUUUUGGGGUUUAUUAUGGGGAAAGAGUGUUGAUUAUUAUUAUUUUUUUUUUAAAUACACUAAGCCCCCCUUCAAGGGCUUUUGACAUGGACUAGACUUCUAAGAAUCACCUCACACUGCAAUAAAUUACUAACGCAUUGUGAGGGACUUGCACUGUUUUCCUAUUGAGCACUGCCACCUGCAGUGCUCAAUGCCAAUUACAGCUGUACUACACUGGAAGUCUUCCACGAGAGCCAGCCUAACAGAAACAACGCACACCUUCCUUGAUCUUUGCGCGGGGAAGCCAUUUUGGCUCCAGGAGCGCAGCGCUCCCGGGUAAAAGUUGCCUGAGAUACUGUGGGCUUAAAGGGGGGCCUUACACUUAUACUGAAUACAUACCCUUCUAAAGCCAAUUGAGUAUAUUCCAAGGUUGGGUACAACACUUCUCCCUCUCUCUCCCUCCCCCUUUUUUUUUUUUUCCUUCUUCUAUACUUGUCC